GGAUGUGAGAGCCAUCUGGCUGCGACAUCUGUCACCCCAUUGAUCACCAGGGUUGAGUCAGCUGAUCUGGCUGGCUAGGCGGGUGUCCUCUUCCUCCCUCACUCCUCCAUGUGUGUCCCUCCCGAUGCUGCGCGCUAGGUGGCCUUCCCCAAAUAGAGACGGACUGGUCUUCCGUUGAGGGUAUACGAGUAGCUGCUCUCCCCUGCGAGAACCUCCAAACAAGCUCUCAAUGUCCUAGGCACUAUCAGAGCUGAAGAAAGAGAAGAAAAGA
rnacentral:snRNA from 1 species